rnacentral:rRNA from 1 species
CACUCCUGCGGGAGGCAGCAGUGGGGAAUAUUGGACAAUGGGCGCAAGCCUGAUCCAGCCAUGCCGCGUGAGUGAUGAAGGCCCUAGGGUUGUAAAGCUCUUUCACCGGUGAAGAUAAUGACGGUAACCGGAGAAGAAGCCCCGGCUAACUUCGUGCCAGCAGCCGCGGUAAUACGAAGGGGGCUAGCGUUGUUCGGAUUUACUGGGCGUAAAGCGCACGUAGGCGGACUAUUAAGUCAGGGGUGAAAUCCCGGGGCUCAACCCCGGAACUGCCUUUGAUACUGGUAGUCUUGAGUUUGAGAGAGGUGAGUGGAAUUCCGAGUGUAGAGGUGAAAUUCGUAGAUAUUCGGAGGAACACCAGUGGCGAAGGCGGCUCACUGGCUCGAUACUGACGCUGAGGUGCGAAAGCGUGGGGAGCAAACAGGAUUAGAAACCCCUGUAGUCCC